rnacentral:rRNA from 1 species
AUUGAACGCUGGCGGCAUGCCUUACACAUGCAAGUCGAACGGUAACAGGUCUUCGGAUGCUGACGAGUGGCGAACGGGUGAGUAAUACAUAGGAACGUGCCUAGUAGUGGGGGAUAACUACUCGAAAGAGUGGCUAAUACCGCAUGAGAUCUACGGAUGAAAGCAGGGGAUCGCAAGACCUUGUGCUACUAGAGCGGCCGAUGGCAGAUUAGGUAGUUGGUGGGAUAAAAGCUUACCAAACCGACGAUCUGUAGCUGGUCUGAGAGGACGAUCAGCCACACUGGGACUGAGACACGGCCCAGACGCCUACGGGAGGCAGGAGUGGGGAAUUUUGGACAAUGGGCGCAAGCCUGAUCCAGCAAUGCCGCGUGCAGGAUGAAGGCCUUCGGGUUGUAAACUGCUUUCGUACGGAACGAAAAGCCCUGGGUUAAUACCCUGGGGUCAUGACGGUACCGUAAGAAUAAGCACCGGCUAACUACGUGCCAGCAGCCGCCGUAAUAC